rnacentral:lncRNA from 1 species
GAUGGAGAGGGUCUGGAUUUAGGAUGAGCGGAGAGGUCUUGAAGGAAGCGAUAAUGAGAGUCGUUAAGGCUCAUUGGCUUCUUGUGGGUUCUGCUAACGCUCCUUUCCAUUUCUCUCUUCUAGUCUUCUUUCAAAACUGAAGGCUCUUGCUUUCAACUCUUGUGUGUUUAUAUACCAUCAAUGCCAGUGUCAUUCCCUUCUUUCCCGCUGUGUUUCGUUUAUUUUGAAUUUGUCAUUAACGUUCGGAAUCC